GGGCGUAGCCCGUGGAAGCUGAGUUUCGUGUUGAUGGGACAGGGUGCUGUGGUACGCAGGGACAGGGAAGGGGGAACAGUGAUCCCAUGAGGGCCCCCAUGAGCUUUCUAGCUCUGUUCUUGGACUUGGAUGAGACCUGAGUCCCACAGGCCAGUCUCUCACCUUGCGUGGACAGCGCGUCUCCAGAGCUCCCCGGCCAGCCUCCUUCCUCACUGCCCAGUUGCCUGAUCAGUGAGGCAGGAAGAACACAGGCCAGGGGCCAAGGGGCACAGUCAAGCUCUCCCAUACCCACCUCGCCCCAAGCACAAGCCAGGCGCUGGCCUCUGGCUACGCCGGGGACCCACACAUACCAAGCCCGAGUUCUCUCACAUCUCCGCUGACUUUUCCAGACCACAAAUGGGGUGGCACUGACGGCUGAGCGAGGCUGGAUUUUUGGCAGGACACCAGCCCGGGCUAUUGGAGGAGCAUGGCCCAAAGCGGAGCUGCUGGAUUUCCUGAAGUCAAUGAGGAAGAUGGCCGAGAAAUCGCUCCCGCCUCCUUAGGAGUCGCUCCUGGGGUCUUGAGAGAGGUGAUGCAGUGACCUGCAAGUCGGGGACGUGUACAGGCGCAUCCGACAGCAAACUCUUGCAAGAAGCAAGACUCAAGAGAGAUCCUUGUGAGAGCUGGUGGAGACCUUGAAGCUUUUUGUGCAGAUGACCGGUGUGUGGAGAUCAAGGGCCUCCGAAGGGGCUCGCGGUUCCUGGAGCAGCAAGGCCGUCAAGGUGACCCCCGAGGAUGGAUCGGCCUGGCCUCAGUCUCCGUGUGCGCAUCUGGAGCAAAGCAGGUGGCCCGUGUCCCAGCCCAGGCGGCAGGAGCCUCUCACUUUGACCAGACGACUUCUUCACAGGAGGGAGGGUUCCUGUAAACUCCACCUCGGCGGCCCUGUCAUCAAGCACAAGCUUUCUAGCCAGCAGUGUCGGGCAAGUUUUGGGGUCCCUGAAGCAUCGGCAUCACCUAGGAAUUCAUUCGAAAUGCUGAUUCCCGGGCCCUAGCCUGGGCCUGAGAAUCAGGAACUCUACGGUAGGUCCCAGCUGUGGGAGUUUAAACAAGCCCCCCCCCCCCCCCCCCGAGGAGUCCAGUGCUCACGGAUCCACCCUGGUUUACAACCUUGGUUUCCCAUUGGAAUUGAAUAAGAAAAUACUGUUGCCUGAUCCCGUCCUCAGAGUUGCCGGAUGUGAUGGGCCUGGGAUGUGGUCCAGUGUCUUCGUCUGUGUUCUGUUGCUGGGAUACAAUAGCUGAGCCCAGGUCAUGUAGACAGAACAGAGAUGUAUUAGGCUCACGGCUCUGGCGGCUGGGAAGUCCGAGAGCAUGGCGCUGACACUAGGUGAGGGCGUCUCUUGGCAAGACAGCAGGUGCCCUAGCUCAGUUCUCUCCUCCUCCUCUUCUUUUUAAAAUAUGUAUUUAUUUAUUUGAAAGCCAGAGUUACAGAGAGAGGGAGAGAGAGAGAGAGAGAGAGAGAGAGAUCUUCCAUCUGCUGGCCGCAUUGUCCAGGGCUGGGCCAGGCCAAAGUCAGGAGCCAGGAGCAUUUUCCAGGUCUCUCAUGUGGGUGCAGGGGCCCAAGGGCUUGGGCCAUCUUCUACUGCUUUCCCAGGCCAUUAGCAGAGAGCUGGAUUGGAAAUGGAGGCGCCGGGACUUGAACUUGCACCUGUACGGAAUGCAAGCGUUGUAGGUGGCAGCUUUACCUGCCUACACCACAACAUCCGCCUGCUGCCUUCCUCGUCUUAAAAAGUCACUAAAGCCGUCAGGUGGACCCCCACCCUCACCAGCUCAUCUAAUCCUUACUAUUUCUCAACGAGCCACCUGCAAAUCCCAUCAACAUAUGACCUUGGGGAUUAAGUUCUCAACACAGGAGCUUUUGAGGGACACAUUCAAACCAAG
ensembl:lncRNA